rnacentral:rRNA from 1 species
UACGGUAGGGGCAAGUGUUAUUCAUAUUGAAUGGGCGUAAAGGGUACGUAGACGGUUAAUUAAAUUAAAUUGUUUAAAAAUUAUAGCUUAACUAUAAAGGAAAUAAUUUAAAAAUAAACUAAGAGUUAAAUUCAGGUUAAAAGAAUUUUUAAGGUAACAGUAAAAUGUUGUAAGAUUAAAAGGAAUAUCAAAGGCGAAGGCUUUUUUCUGGAAUUAAACUGACGUUGAGGUACGAAGGCAUAGGGAGCAAACGGG